GAUGAACGCUGGCGGCGUGCCUAAUACAUGCAAGUCGAGCGAACAGACGAGGAUCUUGCUCCUCUGACGUUAGCGGCGGACGGGUGAGUAACACGUGGAUAACCUACCUAUAAGACUGGGAUAACUUCGGGAAACCGGAGAUAAUACCGGAUAAUAUAUUGAACCGCAUGGUUCAAUAGUGAAAGACGGUUUUGCUGUCACUUAUAGAUGGAUCCGCGCCGCAUUAGCUAGUUGGUAAGGUAACGGUCUACCAAGGCAACGAUGCGUAGUCGACGUGAGAGGGUGAUCGGCCACACUGGAACUGAGACACGGUCCAGACUCCGACGGGAGGCAGCAGUAGGGAAUCUUCCGCAAUGGGCGAAAGCCUGACGGAGCAGCGCCGCGUGAGUGAUGAAGGUCUUCGGAUCGUAAAACUCUGCUAUUAGGGAAGAACAAAUGUGUAAGUAACUAUGCACGUCUUGACGGUACCUAAUCAGAAAGCCACGGCUAACUACGUG
rnacentral:rRNA from 1 species